rnacentral:rRNA from 1 species
AUUGAACGCUGGCGGCAGGCCUAACACAUGCAAGUCGAACGAGUGGCGGACGGGUGAGUAAUGUCUGGGAAACUGCCUGAUGGAGGGGGAUAACUACUGGAAACGGUAGCUAAUACCGCAUACCAUCGGAUGUGCCCAGAGGGGAUUAGCUUGUUGGUGGGUUAACGGCUCACCAAGGCGACGAUCCCUAGCUGGUCUGAGAGGAGGACCAGCCAAGCUGGAACUGAGCCACGGUCGAGACUCUGUCGGGAGGCAGCAGUGGGGAAUAUGGCACAAUGGGCGCAAUCCUGAUGCAUCCAUGCCGCGUGUAUGAAGAAGGCCUUCGGGUUGUAUACUACUUUCAGCGGGGAGGCGUUACCCUCAGAAGAAGCACCGGCUAACUCCGUGCCAGCAGCCGCGGUAAUAC